rnacentral:tRNA from 1 species
UGCCCAGGUGGUGGAAUUGGUAGACACGCCAGACUUAGGAUCUGGUGCGGUAACGUGUGAAGGUUCGAGUCCUUUCCUGGGCAA